ensembl:lncRNA PCAT1 prostate cancer associated transcript 1
GGCUGGUCUCGAACUCCUGACCUGAGGUAAUCCGCUGGCCUCGGCCUCCUAAAGGGCUAGUAUUACAGGCAUGAGCCACCGUGCCCGACCCAGAAAUGUAUUCUUUUGUAGUUCUGGAGGUCAAGAAGUUUGAAAUCAAGGUGUCAGCAAGAUCCAGCCACCUCUUGGGAUGCACACGUUUCUCUUCAACUGCGUGAUGUGAACUGCGUCACAUGUGAAUUAUCAACAGAAACUACCUAGAGAAACCUGUAACUUCAGAUCUUCUGAUUAAUUGAUUUUCUUUGGGUGCUGCUUGACAGUAACAGAAUGGUCCAUGGGGACAGUUUUUCAGUGAAUGUUUUCAACAAUGAUAGGAACACAGAGCUAAGCAGAGUGUCAAGAGACAUUUAGUGCAGUAGAGACAUCUCAUCUGUUUUUCUGCAGAACUUGCAUAAAAUUAGCAUCUGAUUAUUAUCACCUCAGAAUGAACCGGAACCCGUAAAGAUGUCUUUGAUCGUAAAAGUGGGGAGGAGACCCUGAUGGAAGAAGAGAAGACUUCAGCCUCACAAUAGAAAAGACUGUGUUUAUGCACCUAAAUCUAACUUAGACACCAUCUAAUUCAAGAAACAGGCACAUUUAGGGAAAUAAAGAAAAGAGGCAGAAAGAGAUGAAGCACCUUGGCUGAAUCAGAGAAAUUAGGGGUUAAUGUUCCAGACUGAUGACUUGAAGGAGGGUGUGCAUUUUCAUGCAAGGGACCAUUCUGUAGAAGAAGCAGCACAUUCACCCUUAAAUGAGCAAAGAGAAUCCCAAUCACUCUCCCUCUCACCCUCCCCUUUUCCUUCAUUUCUCUAGCUCUUUAUUUCCAAGAAGGCCAGCCCUUCUCUUCAGCCACAUGGUAUUUGGACAGCCUAGGCUCAAUCCCUGCAGGGAAAGCUCAAUCAGCCAGCUGAGCCAGUCACUGAACAACCAAGUCUGGUAAGAACAGGGGUGAAGUAUUUAAGAAGCCUAUCGUGGCUGGAGGGCUAAAGCCUUGUUCUCAAAUCAGCUUUAUAGGUAAUAAAACUGACAUUAAAGCAAAAACAAAUAAGAGUAAUAA